rnacentral:pre_miRNA from 1 species
GGUGGAGGAUUCCAAAGGGAUCGCAUUGAUCCGAUCAUAUGUAUAUAAACUGAUUUUGUUUAUCUGUUUGUAUUAGAUCAUGCGAUCCCUUAGGAAUUUCCCAU